rnacentral:sRNA from 1 species
UCUUUCACAUAUAAACGUAUUGUUGAUUUUUGAGAUAAAUUUUUAAUUGAAAUGAAACUAGUAUGUCCAGCUUUUAA